AUUGAACGCUGGCGGCAGGCCUAACACAUGCAAGUCGAGCGGAUGAAGGGAGCUUGCUCCUGGAUUCAGCGGCGGACGGGUGAGUAAUGCCUAGGAAUCUGCCUGGUAGUGGGGGAUAACGUCCGGAAACGGGCGCUAAUACCGCAUACGUCCUGAGGGAGCAAGUGGGGGAUCUUCGGACCUCACGCUAUCAGAUGAGCCUAGGUCGGAUUAGCUAGUUGGUGGGGUAAAGGCCUACCAAGGCGUCGAUCCGUAACUGGUCUGAGAGGAUGAUCAGUAAAACUGGAAUUGGAGCACGGUCCGGAACACUGCGAGUGGGAAACGGUGGGGAUUUUUGCCGGAGGGAGGAGGGCGGAACCAGCGAUGCCGCGUGUGUGAAGAAGGUCUUCGGAUUGUAAAGCACUUGAAGUUGGGAGGAAGGGAAGGAAGUUAAUACCGUGCUGUUUUGAAGUGAACCGCAGAAUAAGCCCCGGCCAACUUCGUG
rnacentral:rRNA from 1 species